rnacentral:rRNA from 1 species
UACGUAGGGUGCGAGCGUUAAUCGGAGUUACUGGGCGUAAAGCGUGCGCAGGCGGUUUUGUAAGUCUGUCGUGAAAUCCCCGGGCUUAACCUGGGAAUGGCGAUGGAGACUGCAAGGCUAGAGUUUGGCAGAGGGGGGUAGAAUUCCACGUGUAGCAGUGAAAUGCAUAGAGAUGUGGAGGAACACCGAUGGCGAAGGCAGCCCCCUGGGUCAAAACUGACGCUCAUGCACGAAAGCGUGGGGAGCAAACAGG